UGGACUGCCAUCUGUCAUGAAAAAAAUCCAAUUGUUUUUUCAAAAGUAUGGGUUAUAAGGUAUGGUUAGUAACAGAAUACACACAUCCAUGACUCAUGGUUUGGGAACACCAUUCUUGGUCUUUGCCCAUGUUGCCAUUAUGUGAAAUAUAAUUACUAAUGGGAACUCUUGGUUUGGAAACACCAUUAAUCUUGGUGUAUCCCAGGUUGCCNNNNNNNNNNNNNNNNNNNNNNNNNNNNNNNNNNNNNNNNNNNNNNNNNNGUAUUAUAUUCCAAAAAAUCAAACCUGAGGUUUACUAAUUACAAAUAAAAGGAGAGUAUCAGGAAGAUCUUCAAUCCUAAAUAAACAAAAAUUACAAGGUGCCUAAAGCAUUCAUUACUGAUUCUAGAUCUUCCAUAUACUCCUGUUUACACCAAAAAUGAAAUAAAACCAAGCAAUUCAUCUUCAUCUUCUGGAUGCUGUUACUUUUGUUCUGGAAGCAUCUGAGGUUCCUCUCUUUCCACACAGACCACCAGAUACAGGUGGGGAUGAUCUUCCAUCUUUCUUUAUGACCAGAAAUGUAGGCAAAGCUACUCCAUAUCUUCAGGGCCUGGACAAUAUUUCUUGGCAUCACCCAAGAUAGGUCCUUCGAAUUGAUGAAAAUGCUCCACAAAAUAUUAGUGAUCCUACAGUGAAGAAAGAGGUGAUUGACUGUUUCAGCCUCUUCUCCACACAGGAAACACCUAGGGCUCAGUUGGAUACCCCUUUUCAUGAGGUUCUCCUGAGUCAAAACAGCCUGCUUUGCUAGUAGCCAAGUGAAGCAGGACACUUUAGGAGGUAUUUUAACUUUCCAGAUAAGUUUCCAUGGCCAGCCAGUAACUUGAUGGAUGAAAGAGUUGAGCUUUUUGUAAGCUUCCUUCACACUAAAAUUUCCAUUGCUAUGCUGCCUUAAAAAAACAGAUAAGAGACUUGUAUUUAUGUCAAUCUAUGGACUGCCAUCUCUACCUUCACAAAGGUAGGGGUAAGGUUGUGUACACACUGCCCUCUCUAGACCUUGUAGGAUUACAUUGGACAUGUUGUUGUGGACUGCCAUCUGUCAUGAAAAAAAUCCAAUUGUUUUUUCAAAAGUAUGGGUUAUAAGGUAUGGUUAGUAACAGAAUACACACAUCCAUGACUCAUGGUUUGGGAACACCAUUCUUGGUCUUUGCCCAUGUUGCCAUUAUGUGAAAUAUAAUUACUAAUGGGAACUCUUGGUUUGGAAACACCAUUAAUCUUGGUGUAUCCCAGGUUGCCAGUAUUGUUCUGGGUUGAAACUCUUUGUUUGGAAACACCAUUAAUCUUGGUGUAUCCCAGGUUGCCGGUAUUGUUCUAGGUUGAAAUUUCUAAUCUUACAGUGAUGCAAUACUACUACACUUGUUAUAUGUGUAUAUUGUUUUAUAUGCUGACUGAUUAUCCCUUUGCUUUGUUUCUUUUCUCUUUUCUAUUUUUCUUUUCUAUAUUGAACAAGGAACACAAAUUGUGAUGAUAACAUCAAUGCAAACUUAGCUAAAGAUAUGACACAAUAAAGGAAAAAGAUCCACAUAGGUGAUAUCUGUUAGUUGGGAAUAGAACUUAAGCCUCAUUUGUUUGCAUUUAAUGGAAGUCUGAAUAUGAAUGGUUCAGACCUUUAAAUGCGUUUGUUUAUUUUAAGAUUUAAGCCCUUAUUUGGUCUGAAUAGGUCUCAAUCACUAAGAUUUUGAAUAAAAGUUUUUAUAUCAUUACGAUGUAUUUUUUGUGGAUAACUUUCACCAUUACUUUGUCUACUAGACUACUACCACCCGCUACCACCAUUACCACAUCUGCCAUUAAAACCACCAUGAUGUCGCCAACCACCAACUACCUCUUCCAUCACAACCAUCACUAACAACCACAACGCUGCCACCAACUAAUGUCAGCCACUACCAUACCUACCACUUCCAUUAUUAAAUUAAUCCACUGUCAUCAUCACUGCCACUAGUCAUUUCUGUCGUCGCCACUAUCAGUAACUACCACCACUACUGUGAGCAAUCUGUACUACCAACUACAUCCACCAUCAUAACUAGCACCAUCACCAAUUACCACUAGCACUAUUGUCAACAACCACACAUUCUUAAGCCACCACCACCACCGCCAACUACUAACAUCAUAUAACCACAACCACCAACACCACUGCCACCACCAACUAGCUCUGCUAUCACAAUCACCACUAGGAAGCACCACUAAUAACCACUACUUUUCGGUCGCGACCACACGUACCACCUCAUCAUUAUAAUUAUAUCCAUUGUCUCUGCCACCACUAUCAACUACUACACCUACCGUGGUCAAUUCCUACUAUAAACCAUCACAAUUAGAACCACUACUAGCUACCACCAAUACCAUUAUCAGCCACAACCACCAACACUGCAAACUACUAACAUCAACCAAUUUCACCACCACCACUGAUAUCAACCACUAUUGUCAGUCACUAUCACAUCUGCCAAAUACAUCAUUAUAAUUACAUUCAUAGUCAUCACCGUCACCGUCACCGUCGCCUCCACCUCCACCACCAUUAUGAACCACUAUCACCGCUUUAGGUAAUUCCUACUACCAACCACCUCCACAAUCACAACUAGCAUCAGUGCCAACUACCACCAACACACCACCCCUCAAUUUUCAGCCGCCACCACCGCCACCGCCACCGCUAACUACUAACAUCGACAAAUUCCACCAUCACAACAACCACCACCACUACCAACCGCCACCAUCGUACUAGCCACUAGAACACCAAUCACCUCUACCAUCACAACUAUCACCAACCAUCACUACCACAUGCCACUACAAACCAUCUCCACCAUUACUAGCGAACAUAAAUGUUUUUUUAUCAAACAAUAAUUUUUGUUGUAUUAAAUUUAUGUAUUUAUUCUUAUAUUGUAUUUAUUUUAUAUUUGAAUUGUAUAUUUAUUAUGUUUACAAACAAAUAAAUUAUGCACAUUCAUAUUUUGAGUAUUAAUCAUUGAGUGUUCAAAUCUAAGGACAACAUCUUAAUCAUACAUGUAUACAUUUAGAUUUAAACGUCUUAAUUUUAAUGAAAACAAAUGAGCUUUAGUCUUGUUAGAGGACUUUUGUUAUUAUUACAUACAGUGGCGGACCCAGAAAUUUUACGAAGUGGGCUCAACAUACAAAAAAAAAAUGAAGCAGUAUCAAAUGUUGUGGGUGGCAAUCGUACCCGCGAUGCAUCAAUCAAAUUGUAACCACUCUGCCGCUGGGUUACGUGUUACUAUUGGUUUAAGUGGGGUCAAAUUAAUUAUAUACAUUGUUUUAUUUAAAAAAACAGAUUGAAUAUAUAUGUAUAUACAAUGUAUUUUUUCGACGAAGUGGGUUCAUAUGAACUCACUUGCAACAAGGUAGGUCCGCCCCUGAUUACAUUUAUUUAUAAUAUUUAACUUAUUUUGCACUUCUAUUUUUGUUCGGUGUCAUGAUGACAUGAGAGGAGCUUAAAUGGAAUAAUGAGUAUUCAUAUAACUGACUCUAACUUGUUUGAGAUUGAGACUUAGUUGAACAAUGAACACAAUUGUCAAUUUCUCGAGGAG
rnacentral:lncRNA from 1 species